rnacentral:piRNA from 1 species
UGCCAGAUGCAACAGAUGCAAUUCAUUGGCUU